rnacentral:rRNA from 1 species
ACUCGAGUGGCGAACGGGUGAGUAACACGUGGGUGAUCUGCCCUGCACUUCGGGAUAAGCUUGGGAAACUGGGUCUAAUACCGGAUAGGAGCCAUCUUUAGUGUGGUGGUUGGAAAGUUUUUCGGUGUAGGAUGAGCUCGCGGCCUAUCAGCUUGUUGGUGGGGGUAAUGGCCUACCAAGGCGGCGACGGGUAGCCGGCCUGAGAGGGUGUACGGCCACAUUGGGACUGAGAUACGGCCCAG